AAAUGAAACUUUUUUAUGCUUACUUCAGAUGAAAUUGUAGUUCUCUCAACCCUGUAGUUCUUUUGCUACCUACCUUUUCUUCCUUUACUGGUCGUGUGCUAUUUCUAAUAUUAGGGGUUGAUUUUCAUCUUUUUCAUACUCAUUCAUCUCUUUACGUGGAAAUAGUAGUCUCUUUUGAUUAUUUACUAUGUUGGUUAGGCUCUGUACCUUUAAUUUUACCACACAGCAUGGAGUCUUUUUUUUUUUNNNNNNNNNNNNNNNNNNNNNNNNNNNNNNNNNNNNNNNNNNNNNNCAAAUAUAUAUAAAAUAACGGAAGUCAAAUAGAAUUAGAGUUAUGGGUUCGAACCCGUCAUUUCACCUUGUGUAUGUGAGUUUCCAAUGGCUUACCAUUUCAUCUAUCUAAAAAAAUUUAGAGUUAUGGGCAUCAAAGUAAAAAAAUAUUCAAUGGUUAAUCAUCCAAUAUUAAGAUUGAAGAAGAUCAUUUCAUUACCAACAUUUUAAAGAUAAAAAUACAAUUAUUAGUUGCUACCAGUUGAAGAAGAUCAUUUAAUUUAAUUUCAUUGCCAACAUUUUAAAAAUAAAAAUACAAUUUUAUUUGCUACUUUUUUUUUAUUGAAAAAGAAAUAGAGACAAGAGUCAAGAGAAAAAAAAAAUAGAAGCCAAGCAUCACCGAAAAUAAGUACCAAAAAUACUAAAAAGAAAAUAAAUAAAAAUAACAACAAGCCACAAACACCAAAAUCCGGCAAUCAAUAGGAGCACCGGAGACACACCUAAGCACGAAAAACAACCUGCACCAAAAUUAAAAACGGUAAUAGAGAAAAGAAGGUCGGAAAGAAAUACAAAGAACGUACAAUUAACACACGAGUCCGAGAAAACGGAGCCCAACACCAACACCCCAAUAAUUAUUAGUUGUUACCGGUACGGAAGAACUCUUUUAGAACACAAACGCCACUUUGGCAUUCUAAAUACUGAUCAAAUUGAACUUUUUUAUCAAGAUAGAUUAUAUAACAAUCUAUAGCAGUUUGACAUUGUUUGGAAACGUAGGGAAGUUCGAAUGAUAUUAUCUUAUUUGGAUAACGGGUAGAUGUUGGAAUGUAAUUUGCAUUAUUGUCAACCGUCAUUGUAGUAAGAAAUAGAGUAAGAAAUAAAAUUAGAGCAGAAACAAACUUGAGAGAUUUAGUCAUUCUCUCUUUCUUCUCUCUGUAUGUAAAAAAUAGAACGCAAUUUGAUCAAUUUAUAGUGUAUUGAUCUCAGCAACACUUAGGUUGAUCAAUUUACUAUAAAAAAAAUAAAUAAAAAACUUAAUUAAAGUUGAUCAAUGGAUAGUUUUUGCCCCUUUAGAGGGCUUAGUAAAUAUCUCUCACAAAUUUUUUUAAAUAAAUUGUUUCUCUUUUUCUUCAUAGCCGCCGCCUCCCCACCUUAACCUAGUUUUUUUCUUCUUCUUGAUCUAUCAAGGAGGGGUGGUUUUAGCGUCAAUUUUUGACCCAAAAUCACCUUUCAUAAUUGUUUUUCAUUUUCUUCUUUAUUUAAAUAAGUGAUCUUCACAUUGAUCAAAUUUUUCUUUUGUGUUUUCUUUUUUGUGAUUUUGCCGUCUGAGUGCGGCGUUGUGUUGUUCGUCGUCUUGUGUGACGUUUUUGUUGUCUCGUAUUGUGCGUUGUUCAUUUGAUUUUUAUUGAAAAGAUCGGCGUCAGUCAAUUACAAAUUCAACCAAUGAUUUGGGCUUCAAUGCUGCAGAUCCGGAAGCAUGGAUACUUCGGGGACUUUAACUUUAUCAUAUUNNNNNNNNNNNNNNNNNNNNNNNNNNNNNNNNUGAUUAUGUGGUUGUAUUUGAUGUAAUCUAUCAAUUUGAAUGAAUGAAUAUCAUUUUGUUAUUGUCAAAAAAAAAAAAAAUUAACUAGUUUAAAAAAAAUUAUUUGAAAUUUAAGUCAAAAAUCUUAUUUGGGUCAAAAAAAAAAUUAAGUAGUUUAAAGACAAUUGACUUUUAUUCUAUAUUUAAGNNNNNNNNNNNNNNNNNNNNNNNNNNNNNNNNNNNNNNNNNNNNNNNNNNNNNNNNNNNNNNNNNNNNNNNNNNNNNNNNNNNNNNNNNNNNNNNNNNNNNNNNNNNNNNNNNNNNNNNNNNNNNNNNNNNNNNNNNNNNNNNNNNNNNNNNNNNNNNNNNCAAUUUGAAUGAAUGAAUAUCAUUUUGUUAUUGUCAAAAAAAAAAAAAAUUUACUAGUUUAAAAAAAAUUAUUUGAAAUUUAAGUCAAAAAUCUUAUUUGGGUCAAAAAAAAAUUAAGUAGUUUAAAGACAAUUGACUUUUAUUCUAUAUUUAAGUUUGUCAUUAUAUUAAGGUAGAGAAUUCAUUUAGAAUUAAAUAUUUUAAAAUUGUUAUAUAAUAUUGUUAAAAUAUAAGUAGAAUUAUUGAAAUGUUGUAACUUCGUACCAAUUAAAUAUUUUUAGCACCGAUCAAUCGGUUGUAUUAUUUGCCCCUUGAGAAUGCUUAGUAAAUGUCUCUUCAUGUGAGCAUUGUGUUGAGUUUGUCCCUUAAACCCACUUACCAGUGAACAGAACGAGUAACAUAAAAAAUUUCGAAUCAUCAUUAACAUUUUUUAUCUCUACUUUUAAAUCAAUUCAUGUAUAAUUUUCAAAAUUUUGAAUUUUUUUUUUGGACAUAUUUAUUAUAUUAUAGAAAUCUCUUAUAAAAGUUUAACAUUAUUUAACACAUAGGAUAAAAUAAAUAAAAAUAAUAAUUAAGUUUUUGGCCUUUAAAAAUUCAUAUUUAGUUUAUAUUUUGUUAAAAAGUUAAUUCUUUUUGUAGGAGAAAUUUUUAUAAUAUUAUAAACAUCAAUAAAAGCACUCAUUCAAAAAUAUUAAGAGUACACAUGAGUUGAGUUAAAAUCUUCCUAAUCCUAGAAAAUUUUACCAAGUUUCUUCGAUUAGUCCCCAACGGCCACAUAAAUUGACAGCCUUGCAAAUGCACGAAAUUUUCAUUAUAAUAAAAAGAGUAUCGAUCCACAUAAACUAAGAAGAAACAAUUUUAAAAUGAGUAGUGCUAUAUGUCCCGAGAAAGUACCUCCCGAAAAAUCACGAAUACAAUUUAUCUUUUAUUCUUUUCCGUUUAAAUAUUAAAAAAAAAAAAAAAAAAAAAACCCCCCNCAAUUCAAAAACACCAUUGAACUUAACUCUAAUCUCACAGACCUCAAUUUUUUCGAUGACAAUGUGGCUACCAUGAAAUCAUCACCGGCGAUGAUGUGGUUGUUGAUGCAUAAUAUAAUAUGGAUCAUAUCCAUUCUUUGAAGAUGAGAAACUGGACUUUAAUCAGGAAAACAAAUAGAGACAAAAACUGAAGUUUUGAGUUUUAAAAAAAAAAACAAGUAAAAGAAAAAAGAGAGAGAAACUAGACAAGUCGGUGGCCGACAAGGCACUACAAAUCCUAGCCACGUUAAUGACAGUCAAUUAUAUGAUGUUUUUAGUAGUAAUUUAGGAUAGUUUUAAUAGUAAUUGAAGCCCUAGGAAAAGUGAAGUUACAAGACUCAGAAGCAAGAAAAGUGGAAAAAGGGCAAAAAUGUAAUAUGGCAACGCAACAAUCGUACCCACGAUGAGUCUCAGCGUGGCGCGAUGAGACGGCGAUUAAAUUGAAGAAUAUCUGCAGAAAAUCUUUUCCAUCGUGGCACGAUGGCUUGUCAUUGUGGCACCAUGAUGACUUGAAGAAUAUGCAGAAAAUCCUGAGAAGAUCUUCCAUCGCACCACGAUGGGUGCGAUGGAUGCGCAGAAAAAGCUUAAACCCAGCUGAAAAACUAUAAAUAGAGCCUCCUUCCUUCACUAUUAUUCAUCCCAAAAUAUUCAGAAAUAUUAAGAGCUGUUCAAUAUUCACUAUAGAGUAGGAGAACUCUAAGGAGAAGGCAAGGAGGUCAAGGAACUCCAAGCCUAACAAAGUUCUUUUCUUUCUGCUUUUUGUAAUUUAUUUUUCCUAGGUUAGGUGGAGUCGAGGAACUCCCUUACAAAUGCUUGGUUGUAUAAUUUAUAUUAUUUGGGUAUAAAUUCGGUUAUUUCUACAAUAAACUCUUUUAUUGUCCGGUUUUAUAUUUAUUUUAAUAUUGAUCACAUUAGAAUAAAAUCUAAGGACCUAGUGGAUAUCGCAUAGGAAACGAAGCUAGUAAUCCCGAACGAAAAAUGGUAUGCUAGGGCCAACAUGAGACCAUUAAAUUCAGUAUCUGAGGUCUUAGUAUAAGAUUAGAACGCACAAUAACUUCUACCUUAACACAGUGCAUUUGCACGCCUCAGUCAUCAAAACAACCCAAAUUUAUUAUUCACUAUGUAAGUGUUUAAUUAUUUUGUGACGUGCUUUUUAAGUAAGUUAAUAACUUUAGUUAUUUAUCGAAUACUUUAGUUAUUAAGCGAGUAGUGAGUUAACGCGUGUUGGAUCAAGUUAUUGGGCUUGAGGCCCAAUGGGCCUUGUGGACUUGUGAGGGGGCGCCAUAUGGCCUAAGAGGGAGAGGGAACAUUUCAUUUUCUCAUGUUCUUGUGAGAGGUUAGAGAGAAGGAAGAGAAGAGGAGCUAGGGCAUAGAGAAAGGGGAGAAUGUCGAUUUCUCCUUACCCGAACUUUCUCCAUCCCAUUUUCGUUUUAGUUUAUAUGAGUUUUUCUUAAUGAAAAUCGAAUAUAAGGUUCAUAACAUGUUUAACAUGCUCUUGUCAUGAUGUAUGAACGAAUUUAAUGGAUAAAAACGGAAUUUAUAGAUGAUUAAACUCAAGAACAUUGUGUUUUUGUGAGUUUUGAGUAAAAGUAUUAAAUCUUUACUUUUUCGAUGUAUAUGUUGUAGAUCGGUGAAAUAAUCCGUCCUUUUGUGUUUGGAUAUGUUUGUUGCACUUGAAUAUAAACUUAUUUGGGGUUUAUAUCAUGAAAAAUGGGAUUUUUGGGUGAAAAACGCAAGGUUUGAGCAUUCCUGACAGAAGGCCUUCGCCACUGCUCGCCAGGAGCAAGUGUUCCACUGGUGCUCACCAGGCCUUCGCUCAGCGAACAGGGCAGGUUCGCCACGGCUCGCCACCGUUCUCUCAGCGAACAGCACUGGACAACAACUUUUUAUUAAUCGUUUUAAGUGCACUAGGGCAUCUUUCGAGACCAUCUUGGUAUUUUUUUAGGUGUAUUUUCAGCUAAUAUUGGUGUUGCAACCUCUCUUUAUGCUGAAAUUUGCGCUGCAAUUUAUGCUAUUGAAUUUGCUUCUGCUAAAGGAUGGACCCAUCUUUGGCUUGAAUGUGACUCUAUCCUCUUAGUUCAAGCUUUUACUAUUGUGAAUAUGGUCCCUUGGAAGCUGAAGGUUAAAUGGAAAAAUUGUCUUCAUAUCGUUAAAAAAUUUCGUUUUAGAUUUUCUCAUAUUUAUAGAAAAGGAAAUACUUGUGCAGACAGAUUAGCUAAUGCUGGUUUUUUUGUUGAUGGGUUAGUCUGGUGGGACCAAUUACCAAGUUGCUCUAGAGAGAGUUUCUUUAGAGAUAGAGUUAGUUUGUCUAAUUAUCGCUUUCGCUAAUUUUGUUUUGGUGGGUUUGGUUUAUGCCCCACCACCCUUUCUUUUGUUUUUCAUUUUAAUAAUACUUUUUGUGAGAUGGUAGAGGAGUGGUAGUGCAUUGAGGUGCCAACAUAGUUGGGAUGUCGAUGACUUACUAUGAUGUCAUGCUCUCCAUUUUUGCUUUAAAAAAAAAUAAUAAUUGUCUAUUUUAUUCUUAAACGUUAAAACCAUGUUUUUUUCUAUUAGGAAACCUAAAACAACAGUUAUCUUCCAGGCGUUGGUGUUGGUAAAAAAAUUGUUGCGAUAGGCUAAGACAAUGCCCCAACGGCCUGAAAACUGUUCUCGUAGCCUAUUGGAUCUUCUUAAAUAAAAAUAAUUACAAUAGACCUUAUAAAAAAUAAAUAAAUAAGUUAAAUAUUUAAGGCGAAGGGUUGAACUUUAGUUUUAAUAAUUUAAGGUCUCGAGUUUAACAAUUAAAUUAAAAAUAUACUUAAAAUUUAAAUAUCAUAUUUUAUAUUUAUAAAUAAAUAAAACUUUUUUAUGCUUACUUCAGAUGAAAUUGUAGUUCUCUCAACCCUGUAGUUCUUUUGCUACCUACCCUUUCUUCCUUUACUGGUCGUGUGCUAUUUCUAAUAUUAGGGGUUGAUUUUCAUCUUUUUCAUACUCAUCUCUUUACGUGGAGAUAGUAGUCUCUUUUGAUUAUUUACUAUGUUGGUUAGGCUCUGUACCUUUAAUUUUACCACACAGAAUGGAGUCCUUUUUUUUUAAUGGCAAAUAUAUAUAUAUAAAAUAAUGGAAGUCAAAUAGAAUUAGAGUUAUGGGUUCGGACCCGUCAUUUCAUCUUGUGUAUGUGAGUUUUCAAUAGCUUAUCAUUUCAUCUAUCUAGAAAAAAUUAGAGUUAUGGGCAUCAAAGUAAAAAAACAUUCAAUGGUUAAUCAUCCAAUAUUAAGAGAGAAGAAGAUCAUUUCAUUACCAACAUUUUAAAGAUAAAAAUACAAUUAUUAGUUGCUACUAGUAGAAGAAGAUCAUUUAAUUUAAUUUCAUUGCCAACAUUUUAAAAAUAAAAAUACAAUUUUGUUUGCUACUUUUUUUUUUUAUUGAAAAAGAAAUAGAGACAAGAGUCAAGAGAAAAAAAAUAGAAGCCAUGCAUCAUCGAAAAUAAGUACCAAAAGUACUAAAAAGAAAAUAAAUAAAAAUAACAACACGCCACAAACACCAAAAUCCGACUAUCAACAGGAGCACCGGAGACACACCUAAGCACGAAAAACAACCUGCACCAAAAUUAAAAACGGUAAUAGAGAAAAGAAGGUCGGAAAGAAAUACAAAGAACAAUUAACUCACGAGUCCGAGAAAACGGAACCCAACACCAACACCCCAAUAAUUAUUAGUUGCUACCGGUAGAACUCUUUCCUGCAUAUAUGGUAAUGAGAACACAAAUGCCACUUUAGAAGUUUUUUAUCAUGAUAGAUUCUAUAACAAUCUAUAUCAGAUUCACAUUCUUUGUAACCGUUGGGAAUGUAAUUUGCAUUAUUGUCAACCGUCAUUGUAGUAAGAAAUAAAAUUAGAGCAGAAACAAACUUGAGAGAUUUAGUCAUUCUUUCUUUCUUCUCUCUGUAUGUAAAAAAUAGAACGCAAUUUGAUCAAUUUAUAUUGUAUUGACCUCAGCAACACUUAGGUUGAUCAAUUUACUAUAAAAAAAAAAGAAAAAAUAAAAACUUAAUUAAAGUUGAUCAAUGGAUAGUUUUUGCCCCUUUAGAGGGCUUAGUAAAUAUCUCUCACAAGAUUUACAUUUCAUAAUUAACUAGUUUAAAAAAAAUUAUUUGAAAUUUAAGUCAAAA
rnacentral:lncRNA from 1 species